GCCAGCGUGGCUCACUGGGAAUCUAGCAAUCUGGCUCCACUUAAAAUGGAUGAACCUUAGGGAGUGCAAGUCUCCCCGCCGGCA
rnacentral:tRNA from 1 species